rnacentral:misc_RNA from 1 species
UCUCCGUAGGUGAACCUGCGGAGGGAUCAUUACCGAGCUACGGGCCCUCGUGGCCCUACCUCCAACCCCCUGCGAAUCGACGCUGUUGCUUCGGGGUCACGCCUCGCGGCGGCCCCGGAGGUCUUUUUACACUGCAUUCAUGCGUCCGAGUCGAAAACACAAAUGAACAAAACUUUCAACAACGGAUCUCUUGGUUCUGGCAUCGAUGAAGAACGCAGC